GCAUACGGUAUGGCGCACGGCGCACGGGUGCGUAACACGUGGGCAAUCUGCCCUCCGGUGGGGAAUAACCCCGCGAAAGCGGGGCUAAUUCCGCAUAACAUUCUCUGGACUCUGGUUCGGGGAUUCAAAGCAGCAAUGCGCCGGAGGAGGAGCCCGCGCCCGAUUAGCUAGUUGGUGAGGUAAUGGCUCACCAAGGCAAUGAUCGGUAGCUGGUCUGAGAGGAUGGCCAGCCACACUGGAACUGAGACACGGUCCAG
rnacentral:rRNA from 1 species